rnacentral:rRNA from 1 species
UAGGGAAUCUUCCGCAAUGGACGCAAGUCUGACGGAGCAACGCCGCGUGAGUGAAGAAGGAUUUCGGUUCGUAAAACUCUGUUGUUAGAGAAGAACAGCGCAUAGAGUAACUGUUAUGCGUGUGACGGUAUCUAACCAGAAAGCCACGGCUAACUACGUGCCAGCAGCCGCGGUAAUACGUAGGUGGCAAGCGUUGUCCGGAUUUAUUGGGCGUAAAGCGAGCGCAGGCGGUCAAUUAAGUCUGAUGUGAAAGCCCCCGGCUCAACCGGGGAGGGUCAUUGGAAACUGGUUAACUUGAGUGCAGAAGAGGAGAGUGGAAUUCCAUGUGUAGCGGUGAAAUGCGUAGAUAUAUGGAGGAACACCAGUGGCGAAGGCGACUCUCUGGUCUGUAACUGACGCUGAGGUUCGAAAGCGUGGGUAGCAAACAGG